GGUUCUCCACGAGUGGUGAAGAUCUGUACAGUCAGCGAUCAGAGCAGCAAGGAUGUAAACCUGUAAUCAAGUUUAUGGUGGUAUCUGAGGAGGUUACUGUAUCAUGUGAGGUGGCUUCUAUAAGUUUAUGUGCGGAACCGUUGUAAGGAAUGGCUUUGGUCAGGUACAAACUAAUAGUAUUGUGGUCGAAGUCCUGUGGGAUAGUUGUG